UAAUCACGAUUAAAGCACAUUGUGGCGAGGAGGUUUACAAGUUGCAACAGAUUUUUCAUCUUCCUUUGGAGUUCCCCUCUCUUCAACUUUCAUCAAUGGGAAAAUGGAAUCGCAGAUAUAUACCCAUGAGGAAGCCUAGGCAAUACGACUGUGAUGAUCCGCCUCCAUCUCCCCCAAGACCCUAUUUUUCUGGAGUUGCUCACAGUAGGGUGCCAUCAUGGGAAAUAGACUAUUGCCAUUCUUGUAAAGUUCCUUGGAAUAAGGUGUUGGCAUCCAAAAAGUAUAUUUACAGUUAUCCUAGUGUGCUGAAUUGGGAUGGUUCUGCUGGUAAAGAAGCAUUGGAGAAUGCAAAACAACGAUUCUGGGCCAAGAUCAAUGGCCAUCUAUGUGAUAACCCUUUGCCAGACCCAGACAUGUACAUCGAUGAGAUUGAUUGGAACCCAUAUAUAGAUCGUGAGCUGAUGGAAGAUCUAGAUCUACAAGUUUUUUGUCCAGAUGAAGCAGAGAAGAUAGGAAAGCUGGAUACCAUUAACGAAGAGGUUGAGUGCGCUCAAACACAGCAUGAUAAAAAGCAAUACACUAGUGAUAACCCUUGGGAAAGAGAUCAGUUGCUAGGUACUGAGAAUUUAAAACAAGAGAAUGGUUGGGAUAGGUGGGAUGAUACAUUAAAUCUGAGAAAUGACGAUCCAUGGGAGCAAAGUUGCCGGAAACUUGUUGGUUCUUCAAAGGAUAAUACUUGGGGGAUUAGAAGUGAAUCUUGGGAAUGGCCCCAGGGUCUUGACAAAACUCAGUCAUCUUCCUUUGCUGAUUGUGGACGUGGCAAGUCUUGGAAUUGUAAUGAGAAAACCAUGGCUGUAAGAGAAGACGGAUGGGGGCAGGGACGUAGAGAAAACAAUUCUUGGAGUUGGGGUCCGGGGAAUAACAAUUCAACAAGAGUGACAUUAUUUGAAACUAACAAUUGUAUAGGCUCAAAAGAGACAGGUUGGAGAGACAACAGGAAUGUGUCUUGGGGUGUGCGGGAUGCAAGAUACGAUGAUAGUGAGGCCAAGCAUUGGGAUCCAAAUUUCAGGCGGGGUGGAUGGUCCUCUAGGGGUGGUGGCCGAAAGAGAGAAAGUACUGUACAGCACACAUCAAAAUAUAAGAGCUCCAGAUAUCUUGGUGACCCCUAUGGAUAUGGUCAGCAGAUCUGAAGAUUUUCAGGAACUUGGUUAAUAUUAUGUUGUUAAGUUCUUCAAAAGUUUAAUUGUGCCGGGGAAGUUACACUUUCAACAGUCCACUACUCUUUGCAAAUAGUGCAGAACUCCAAUAUUUUACUAGGAAAAUACUUUUGGUGAUUUUGGUGAACGAUUAUUGGUUGUUUUUUUAGAUUUGGAGGAUACUACUGGUUCUGAAGGAUUUUGCAUUUUCUAUGUACAACCUAACGAUGGACCUUUAUUUAAGAGUCAAUCAGGCAGAGAAGGGAAUUAGCUGGUUAGGUAUGGUACCUCUAGCCGCACACUGAUUUUUUUGUGAUUCGUAAAUGCGGACUUGUGGGCUUCCGAAGAUUUUGAUGCUUAUAGUAGACUAAUGUACGACUGGGUCAAAGACAAACACAUCUAAGCAAAGCUUGUUCUAGGGUUCUAAAGAAACAGGUCCUAGUUUGCAUACUGGGAAAAAUUGUAAGGAACAUCUUAUAGAAGAGAGAAAUACUACAAUUUUGUUUGUUGGUUAAGUUUGCACUGACUUGAAAACUGUAAGAAACAUCUUAUAUAAGAGAGAAGAAAUACUGCUGUUUUACUUA